rfam:Stegodyphus mimosarum contig55514, whole genome shotgun sequence.
GCCUUCGUGGUGUAGCGGUCAGCUCGCUCGACACGUAACCGAGAGGUCCGUGGUUAGAUUCCCUGCGAAAGCG